rnacentral:rRNA from 1 species
UAGGGAAUAUUAGUAAUGGGCGAAAGCCUGAACUAGCAACGCCGCGUGUGCGAAGAAGGCCUUCGGGUUGUAGAGCACUUUUUGAGAGGAUGAGGAAGGACGGUACUCUCAGAAUAAGCCUCGGCUAACUACGUGCCAGCAGCCGCGGUAACACGUAGGAGGCAAACGUUAUCCGGAUUUACUGGGCGUAAAGCGCGUGUAGGUGGUUUGGUAAGUAGGGCGUGAAAGCUCCUGGCUCAACUGGGAGAGGCCGUUCUAAACUGCCGAACUAGAGGAUGGUAGAGGGAGGUGGAAUUCCGGGUGUAGCGGUGGAAUGCGCAGAUAUCCGGAUGAACACCAGUGGCGAAAGCGGCCUCCUGGACCAUUCCUGACACUCAGACGCGAAAGCUAGGGUAGCAAACGG